rnacentral:rRNA from 1 species
GACGAACGCUGGCGGCGUGCUUAACACAUGCAAGUCGAACGGAAAGGUCUCUUCGGAGAUACUCGAGUGGCGAACGGGUGAGUAACACGUGGGCGAUCUGCCCUGCACUUCGGGAUAAGCCUGGGAAACUGGGUCUAAUACCGGAUAGGACCACGGGAUUCAUGUCCUGUGGUGGAAAGCUUUUGCGGUGUGGGAUGGGCCCGCGGCCUAUCAGCUUGUUGGUGGGGUAACGGCCUACCAAGGCGACGACGGGUAGCCGGCCUGAGAGGGUGUCCGGCCACACUGGGACUGAGAUACGGCCCAGACUCCUACGGGAGGCAGCAGUGGGGAAUAUUGCACAAUGGGCGCAAGCCUGAUGCAGCGACGCCGCGUGGGGGAUGACGGCCUUCGGGUUGUAAACCUCUUUCACCAUCGACGAAGGUUCGGGUUUUCUCGGAUUGACGGUAGGUGGAGAAGAAGCACCGGCCAACUACGUGCCAGCAGCCGCGGUAAUACGUAGGGUGCGAGCGUUGUCCGGAAUUACUGGGCGUAAAGAGCUCGUAGGUGGUUUGUCGCGUUGUUCGUGAAAUCUCACGGCUUAACUGUGAGCGUGCGGGCGAUACGGGCAGACUAGAGUACUGCAGGGGAGACUGGAAUUCCUGGUGUAGCGGUGGAAUGCGCAGAUAUCAGGAGGAACACCGGUGGCGAAGGCGGGUCUCUGGGCAGUAACUGACGCUGAGGAGCGAAAGCGUGGGGAGCGAACAGGAUUAGAUACCCUGGUAGUCCACGCCGUAAACGGUGGGUACUAGGUGUGGGUUUCCUUCCUUGGGAUCCGUGCCGUAGCUAACGCAUUAAGUACCCCGCCUGGGGGAGUACGGCCGCAAGGCUAAAACUCAAAGGAAUUGACGGGGGCCCGCACAAGCGGCGGAGCAUGUGGAUUAAUUCGAUGCAACGCGAAGAACCUUACCUGGGUUUGACAUGCACAGGACGCGUCUAGAGAUAGGCGUUCCCUUGUGGCCUGUGUGCAGGUGGUGCAUGGCUGUCGUCAGCUCGUGUCGUGAGAUGUUGGGUUAAGUCCCGCAACGAGCGCAACCCUUGUCUCAUGUUGCCAGCACGUAAUGGUGGGGACUCGUGAGAGACUGCCGGGGUCAACUCGGAGGAAGGUGGGGAUGACGUCAAGUCAUCAUGCCCCUUAUGUCCAGGGCUUCACACAUGCUACAAUGGCCGGUACAAAGGGCUGCGAUGCCGCGAGGUUAAGCGAAUCCUUUAAAGCCGGUCUCAGUUCGGAUCGGGGUCUGCAACUCGACCCCGUGAAGUCGGAGUCGCUAGUAAUCGCAGAUCAGCAACGCUGCGGUGAAUACGUUCCCGGGCCUUGUACACACCGCCCGUCACGUCAUGAAAGUCGGUAACACCCGAAGCCAGUGGCCUAACCCUUUGGGAGGGAGCUGUCGAAGGUGGGAUCGGCGAUUGGGACGAAG